rnacentral:lncRNA from 1 species
UUCGUUUUGUCCUCUGUAGAAUGUUUUAUAAUAUGAGUUUUCAUUCCUCUACUACAUGACAGUCAAAGUGGGGGAAAAAAAAGAGAUAAAUAUUUAACUAAUGUGUGAGAAUGCUUCUCAAGGUCACCCCAAUUAUUUAUUAUUAGAUUUUUUUUUUCUUGGUUUGCAGCUGUUGCAAGAGAAUUCCUUUCACUCAAGUAUCCCCUGGCUGCAGUUUCCAUCAGAAAAUCUAUUUACUGGAAUUGAAUAUGAAGACUACCAGAAAAUACAUCUUUGGAGGCCUUCAGACUGGGCAAGGACUACCGCGUCACUCCCUUCUUGUUUCUGAGCUAGAAGAACCUCAUCUUGCUUCUGCAGUGCAAAGAGGAGCAGGCAACACAGUAAUAUGCACAGAUCGUUUCCAUCUGAGUUAUUUAGAAUAGAUGAAUUUGAGGCUUCCCUAUUCAUCCUCAGAGGAGUUGUCUAAGGAGUUCAAUAUUCACAGUUAUGUAUUUUUAAGCAAAACACAUAAAUUAAAUCAGUAGCGUACCAGCUGAUGGUUUUUUAUGCCCUGUUCAUAUAAAAGCUCAUUCAACUACUUCUGUUUCAGUCUCUGGGGAGUGCAGGAAGGGAGGUAUUAGUUGGAGAACUGUGCAGAGUUACCACUGAGGAAUCCCUACACAGGUUCUCUAGCAAUAUAAUUUUCAUCUUCUUUCUUCUGCAGACAGCAGCACGGCCACUAGAGAACACAAAAAAAAAAGUUUCUCAAAGCUUAAUAGACUUCUCCUUUCUAAAUCUAGCAGUAACUUGUCCACAGUAAGCCUUUGUACUUGACUAUGGAUCCACAAGUAUGGAUUUAAUCUUAGUCUAGACUUCAUAGUUUUUCGUGAUAGCUGUACUUUUUCUUACAAUUAUAGAAUAUCCUGAGUUGGAAGGGACCCACAAGGACCACUGAGUCCAACUCCUGGCUCCACAAAGGACCACCCAAAAUUCAAACCCUGUGCCUUAGAGUGUUGUCCAAAUGCUCCUUGAACUCUGGCAGCUUGGGGCCAUGACCACUGCCCUGGGGAGUCUGUUCCAUGCCCACUGCCCUCUGGUGAAGAACCUUUUCCUAACACCCACCUGAUCCUCCCCUGAUGCAGCUCCAUCUUUCACACAUUUCAAAAAUCCUACCCUGUACAGCAUCAUAUGGAUUUCAGAACUCAAGAGUCUACAGCUGCUGCUUAGUUUUUUCCUUUCACAUUCUCCAGUCAGGAUUUUCCCUUGCAAUCAGGCAAGGCUGGCAAGUCUAUGAUCAUGAAUAUGGUAUAUAUCCUCCAUUGCACUGUGUCGUUGGAAAUCAUGUACUUGGUAAAUAAAAGGUUUGGGGUAAAGAAGAAUUCUGCUUUG